rnacentral:lncRNA from 8 species
UAAAUGUUGCAUCAUGGUUACGCACUGAUCCUCACCUAUCUCCUCUCCCAUCUCUGUUUCAGAGCCAGCAAAGGUGCAUUGCAACUUCUCACAGCUCUGUGCCAAUCAGUCUGUUUACUACUGGAUGGUCCUUGCUGUGGACGUGACUGGAGACCUGAAGAGUGAAACGGACAUCAGUGACUGGUUGUGGGAUCUAUUUCAUACUCACUUGGACACCUGCGAGCCCUACCGACCUGAACAAUCAAAUGGCACAAACUCGACAGACACACUGCGAACCACCUCAGUCAGUCCAGCAUAUCCCACCCCCUACAACAUGACAACACGGUUAUACAACUUCACCAUAACAACACCAUCCCAGAACUUCACCACGACAACACAAACGCUGAACUACAGCUCGACCCCCUCGCACAACUUCAGCAUGGCGGCCUCGACAACAAACAUGACAACCAUGCUUUACAAUCACAGUAUUACUACUCCUUCACACAACCAUAGCAUGACUACACCAUCACACAAUCAUAGCACGACAACUCAUUCUCCCAGCUGUACCAUGUCUGCCACCACUAGGUAA